UCACUAUUGAUGUCUUUGUUAUUUAUGGUUAUCUUUCAGCAGUUUGUUGAACUACAAUUCCCAAAUUCACAUAUUUUUUGUUUAUUAGGCAGUCAAUGACAAGCAAAAUGAAGCCAUCACAGCUGCAUCUAAUGAGUUGGCCAAAAGAAAAAGCGAUCUUGAAGAAAAUAUAAAACUUUCACAUGAUUUAAAAGUCUAGGCGCAGCAUGGAAUGUUGCUAAUGUGACAAAAGGAUCAACUGGGGUGAUAUUUGGUCUCGGAACUGUUGGCCUUUCUGUUGCACAAGGUGCAAAACUAAGGGGAGCAUCUCGAAUAAUUGGCGUGGAUAAGAAUCCACAUAAGUGUGAAAAAGCAAAAGCUUUUGGAUUUACAGAAGUUGUUGACGCGAGUUCCUACCAAGAACCUAUUGCUCAAGUUACUAUUCCUUUUUCAGUUAUACCAUCUGACAAGGGCUACUUAUUACAAGUAUCCAAAGCAAAAGUUUUCAUUCCAGUGGCUAAAUGGUGAUUUAUUUUCAAAA